UACACGAAAAUCUACUGGUUUGCAGUGGAAGUCGGUAUUCCGAUGCGUGUGAUACUUUCUAUCGUACCGUGUCCGGCAGUCCUUGCGUAUCCGGCAUCGUGCAGUCGUGUAGUUGUCAUCCUGCGGUCGGAUAAACAUUUUUUUUUUUUUUCUAACAGUUCUCGUGAUUAAAUAAAAUUUGAAAACGGUUUCGCACGUACAACUUCUAUCGCUGUGAGCCUAUCGGAGUGACGUCCGCCGCGUUUCGUAAUAACAAUAUUAUCUUUAGUCGAAGAUUUUUCAAUUUUUUGUCAUUUUUUUCCUCCAGUACUUUUAUCCAAUUCACCUUCAUCAUCCUCCUCCUCUAGGGCGAACAUGACGUGUUCGACGCUGUAGGACGCGAAUUCUCCCGCCGCCGAAAGAAAAUCGUGCCGACCGUUGCCGAUUCGCAUGCGGUGGUUGUUUUGAAUACGGAACACAAGUGGCUCGCAUAUUCAUAACAUAUUAUGCUGUUCAGGCUGCUAACAACAUGGUCAUAUCAGAUUUUAUCGUUCAUUACUGUGUAUGCAAUCUUCACAGCAGGAAUUCCAAUAGAAAAACCCCGAAAGGCAAUACCACAAUGGACUACUCACAAUAUGUCUUUGUGGGAAGACAUAAUACUAUUAAGCUCAGACAACGAACACCAGCCGGCGCUUAUGAUAAACCACACUGGUGUAUACAUUGCCCCAGACAUCGAAAAAAUGGAAAACGAGACAUUAAGAAAAUUCCAAAUUUUAAAAACAAAUUAUGCGAAGUAUUUUUAUGAAGUCGACGGUAAGCCAAAUAAAGAAGAUAGUCGCGCUUCUCGAGCUGCUCUGCCUCGGUUCGUGGACAAAGCAUUACAAUUGCUCAAUUUAAAUCAAGUAGUGGGUGAAGUGGAAACUAGUGUUAUGUCAAAAAUGUCAUGUACGGCUUGUAAGGCCGGAGCUGGUUUUCUACAACACUAUAUAAAGACUGGAAAAACACGCGAUGACAUCGUCAAAAUUACUUACCAAUUUUGCACAAGCUUUAAAUUACAAACCCCGCGUGUCUGCGAGGGUAUAACCGAAUUGUUUAGUGGUGAAGUAGUUUACGUUCUACAGAGAAUAAACAUUGGGCCAGAAGAAAUCUGUAGUUUUGUAAUUGGCGAUGCGUGUGGGGAUGUAUACAAUCCAACACAUGAAUGGGAUGUAGUUUUUCCUCCUGUUCCCAAACCUACUCCAAUCGAAACUAAAAUAUUAAAAAACUUAUUUCAGGAACCAGUCCCACAAUUUAAAGUGCUCCAUUUAUCCGACACCCAUUUUGAUCCUUAUUAUGAAGAAGGAACAAAUGCUGAUUGCAAUGAACCUCUAUGUUGUCGUUUGACCAAUGGUCCAGCAGUCAGUCCUCAAAAUCGAGCAGGAAGAUGGGGAGAUUAUAGAAAGUGUGACACACCUAAACGUACUAUAGACAAUAUGCUUCAACAUAUUGUUGCUACACAUACUGACAUUGAUUAUAUAAUAUGGACGGGUGAUCUACCAGCACACGACAUUUGGAAUCAGACAAAAGAAGAAAAUUUAAGCAUACUAAAAGAAACUGUAGCUCAGUUACUAAAAAUGUUUCCGGGGAUUCCCAUUUUCCCAGCACUUGGUAAUCACGAAGCUGUUCCAGUAAAUAGUUUCCCUCCAUCUUCAUUGGUUAACAAACCAGAAUAUGCGAUUGACUGGUUGUACAGUGAAUUAGACACUCAAUGGCGCCGUUGGUUACCAGGUUCUGUCAGUAGAACUAUCAAACGUGGAGCAUUCUACAGUGUGUUGGUCCGACCAGGCUUCCGCAUUAUAUCCCUGAACAUGAAUUACUGCAACAAUAAGAAUUGGUGGCUAUUAAUAAAUAGUACUGAUCCAGUCAAAGAACUUCAAUGGUUUAUAUACGAGUUGCAAAAUGCCGAGUUUAAUGGAGAAAAAGUUCAUGUAUUAGGGCAUAUACCACCAGGACAUCCAGAUUGUUUAAAAGUCUGGAGUCGAAACUAUUAUGCCAUAAUCUCAAGAUACGAAAGCACAAUAACAGCUCAAUUUUUUGGCCAUACUCAUUUUGAUGAAUUUGAACUGUUCUAUGAUACACAAAAUCUUGGUAGAGCAGUUAGCAUUGCAUAUGUUGGUCCCUCUGUCACCCCAUACUAUGAUCUGAAUCCCGGUUACAGAAUAUAUUACGUAGAUGGCGAUAGAGAGCAUUCAACCAGAUCAGUAUUAGACCACGAGACAUGGGUAAUGAAUUUAAAAGAAGCUAAUUUAUAUGACUAUCCUAUCUGGCAAAAAUUGUAUUCUACACAAGCUGCAUAUAACUUACCCUCAUUGAGACCUGAAGACUGGGAUGUUUUUGUCAGUCAUUUGGUAGAAGAUCAAACAACAUUUGAUCUUUACUACAAGCAUUAUUGGAAAAACUCACCAACAAGACCUGCGUGUGAUGCAGAAUGUAAAAAACGUAUGAUAUGUGAUCUUCGAUCAGGUCGUUCACAUGAUCGUAAAAUUCUUUGUCAAGAAAUUGAAUCUCGUAUUGACGCUGGGACCAGAAUUAGUUGGCGUGCAUGGCUCUACAAUGGAUUCACUGCAUCGAUGUCUGUAAUUAUGUCCAUACCUCACUAUACGUACCAGAUACCAAAAUACCUACUAGGAUAUACCAGAUGAGCAAAAUUGAUAAGUAAUGUGAACAAUUCAAAUGUAUUGUUAACUGCAAGUACGGUCAUUGAAAAGAACAGAUAAAUUGGAAGACUAAAUCUACUCUGAAACAUUUGCUCAUUACAACGAUCAAACAAAAACAAUAUGAUUAGAAAUUAAAUAUUGACCACAAUCAUCAUGAUCAAAAAACCAGGCAAAGAUAACACUGACCCGUGUAACUACAGACCUAUUAGUUUACUGUCAUCAGUUUCAAAAAUAUUUGAAAAAAUUAUACACUCCAGGCUCACCAAUUAUUUAAAUGCAAUAAAUGCUAUUCCGCAUAUGCAAUUUGGAUUCAAAUCAAAUCAUUCAACUACCCAACAACUACGUCUAACAGAACAUAUAAGCGAUGGUUACGAAAAAAAACAACAUACAGGUGCCGCCUUUUUAGAUGUAGCCCAAGCUUUUGAUCGGGUCUGGCAUGACGGACUCUUAUAUAAACUAAAAAUGUUAAACACCCCAAAUGCUAUUUACAAUCUAAUCAAAUCCUACCUCACUGCUCGCUGUUUUAAAGUCAUUAUAAACGACACUACUUCACAAAUAAAAAUUAUAAAUGCAGGUGUACCUCAAGGCUCAAAAAUUUCUCCGUUACUUUUUAACCUAUAUGUUUCAGACUUUCCCAUAUCAAUUAAUACGGAAAUAGCACUUUAUGCCGACGACAGCGCAAUAUAUUCAAGCUCUACAGACGUUGAAACAGUGACAAAAAAUAUUCAAGACCACCUGAAUGACAUCCAAAAAUGGGAAGAUAAAUGGAAAAUCAAACUGAACCCUCAAAAAAGCACAGCAGUUCUUUUCACUAAUCGCCGCCCCAAAACUCCCGGCAAUUUAAAACUGUAUGGCAAUAACAAUCCCUGGUCACCUAGCAUCAAAUAUCUCGGCGUAAUAUUAGACAGGAAACUAACUUGGAACCCACACAUCACCUCUAAACUUCAACAAGGCUACCAGAGACUAAAGAUACUUUAUCCAUUGCUAAACCGACAAUCAUCGCUAAGCUGGAAAUGCUCUAUUUUGAUAUAC